rnacentral:rRNA from 1 species
AGCAUGUGGUUUAAUUCGACGCAACGCGCAGAACCUUACCUAGACUUGACAUCCCGGGGAUUUUCUGGAAACAGAGAAGUGCUUUAGCAAUAAAGAACCCGGUGACAGGUGCUGCAUGGCUGUCGUCAGCUCGUGUCGUGAGAUGUUGGGUUAAGUCCCGCAACGAGCGCAACCCUCGCCUUUAGUUGCCAGCAUUCAGUUGGGCACUCUAGAGGGACUGCCGGUGUCAAACCGGAGGAAGGUGGGAUGACGUCAAGUCCUCAUGGCCUUUAUGUCUAGGGCUACACACGUACUACAAUGGCCGGUACAAAGGGCAGCCACUCAGCGAUGAGGCGCUAAUCCCAUAAAGCCGGUCUCAGUCCGGAUCGCAGUCUGCAACUCGACUGCGUGAAGUCGGAAUCGCUAGUAAUCGCAGGUCAGCAUACUGCGGUGAAUACGUUCCCGGGCCUU